rnacentral:sRNA from 1 species
UAUAAGUGCAGGUAGAAGUACACUGUACACUCGCGUCACUGAACUGAUUGUUGUUUAAGCGAUAUGUAAUAUCGUCAGCCGCGGGGACGCCGAAAGGCGUUUUUUUUUUUU